UACAGAGACUGCAAGCGUUAUUCGGAUUCACUGGGCGUAAAGGGUGCGCAGGCGGUCGGGUGUGUCAGAUGUGAAAUCCCGAGGCUCAACCUCGGAACUGCGUCUGAAACUACUCGACUAGAGUACUGGAGAGGGUAACGGAAUUCACGGUGUAGCAGUGAAAUGCGUAGAUAUCGUGAGGAACACCAGAGGCGAAGGCGGCAAACUGGAUAGGCACUGACACUCAACAACGAAAGCGUGGGGAGCAAACAGG
rnacentral:rRNA from 1 species